rfam:Ictidomys tridecemlineatus contig015859, whole genome shotgun sequence.
AGGGUUGUGGCUCAGUGGCAGAGCACUUGCCUGACAUGGGUGAGGCACUGGGUUCAAUUCUCAGCAACACAU